rnacentral:lncRNA from 1 species
AUUUUUCUCUUUUUUCAUAGGAAAUCAAAUACUAAUAGUUACUAGACAUGAAAUCCUCAAGAAUCGGAGUUGUGGGUGCAAUUUUGAUGGUCCUAAUAUUUGCUGCUAAUUAUGCAGUGGCAUAUGAUCUCAUUUAUAGUAAUUGUGUCUUUGGAUGUACAAGCAAUUGUGGGGCAACCUGUGAAGACUACUGUGAUCGGGUCGAGAACCGCAUUAAUACGCCACCACCUAACAUCCCGAC